rnacentral:rRNA from 1 species
CAAUAGCGUAUAUUGAAGUUGUUGCGGUUAAAAAGCUCGUCGUUGGAUUUCUGUUGAGGUCGAACAGUGCCGCCCUAUGGGUGCGCAACUGGCUCGGCUUCGGCAUCUUCUUGGAGAGCGCAUCUGCACUUAACUGUGUGGAUCGUACUUCAAGUCAGUUACUUUGAGGAAUUGUGAGUGUUUCAAGCAGGCUUACGCCGUUGAAUCCGUUAGCAUGGAAUAAUAGAAUAGGACCUCGGUUCUAUUUUGUUGGUUUUGAGAGCUGGGGCAGCGAUUGAUAGGGACGGAUGGGGGCGGUCCGAACUUACUUGUCAGAGGUGGAAAUUACUUAGUAUCGGUCGAAAGGACGGAACUAACUGCGAACGACAUUCGUCCAACGAAAUGUUUUCUAUUGUAUCAAGAACGAAAGUUAAGGGUAGUCG